AGCGAACGCUGGCGGCAUGCCUAACACAUGCAAGUCGAACGGCAGCACAGUAAGAGCUUGCUCUUACGGGUGGCGAGUGGCGGACGGGUGAGGUAUACAUCGGAAUCUACUCUUUCGUGGGGGAUAACGUAGGGAAACUUACGCUAAUACCGCAUACGACCUACGGGUGUAAGCAGGGGAUAGUCGGACCUUGUGGGAGUGAAUGAGCCGAUGUCGGAUUAGCUAGUUGGCGGGGUAAAGGCCCACCAAGGCGACGAUCGGUAGCUGGUCUGAGAGGAUGGUCGCCCACAUUGGAGGUGAGACGGGGCCCCGACUCCUGCGGGAGGCAGCAGUGGGGAAUAUUAGGCAAUGGGGGCGAGCCUGAUACAGCCAUACCGCGUAGGUGGAGAAGGCCUUCGGGUUGUGAAGCCCUUUUGUUGGGAGAGAAAAGCAGCAGGUUGAUACGCCGCUGUACUGACGGUACCGGGAGAAUAAGCACCGGCUAACUUCGUG
rnacentral:rRNA from 1 species